GGAGGUGGGCAGGCACCUGGUGGUCCUCACGGUCUUCAAAACCGAAGCGGCCGGGACACUCGGCCGGGCGGGUUCGAUUCCCGUGCACCUCCGCCA
rnacentral:tRNA from 1 species